AUGAGCCCCACAUUGCUUUGUGUGAUGCUUUGCCUGCUAAGAGCAGACCUAACAGAUGCUGGGAUCACCCAGACACCGAGAUACUGGAUCACACAGACAGGAAGAAAGAUGGUCCUGGGGUGCUCUCAGAAUAUGGGCCACUAUUGGAUGUUCUGGUACCGACAAGAUGCAGGACAGGGAUUUAGGCUGAUCCAUUACUCGGGAAGUGUUGGCAGCACUACUAAAGGCGAUGUCCCGGAAGGGUACAGUGUCUCCAGAAACGAGAGCGACCAUUUCCCCCUGACAUUAGACUCAACCAGACCCAGCCAGACCUCCACGUACUUCUGUGCCAGCAGUGAACACAGCACUGCAUAG